rnacentral:rRNA from 1 species
GACCAGACUCCUACGGGAGGCAGCAGUGGGGAAUAUUGCACAAUGGGGGAAACCCUGAUGCAGCGACGCCGCGUGAGUGAAGAAGUAUUUCGGUAUGUAAAGCUCUAUCAGCAGGGAAGAAGUUGACGGUACCUGAGCAAGAAGCCCCGGCUAACUACGUGCCAGCAGCCGCGGUAAUACGUAGGGGGCAAGCGUUAUCCGGAUUUACUGGGUGUAAAGGGAGCGUAGACGGCAGUGCAAGUCUGAAGUGAAAGCCCCGGGCUUAACCCGGGAAUUGCUUUGGAAACUGUACGGCUGGAGUGCUGGAGAGGUGAGCGGAAUUCCUAGUGUAGCGGUGAAAUGCGUAGAUAUUAGGAGGAACACCAGUGGCGAAGGCGGCUUACUGGACAGUAACUGACGUUGAGGCUCGAAAGCGUGGGGAGCAAACAGGAUUAGAUACCCCUGUACA